ACCCAUGCCGCUACCGUUUCACCGCUCUCUCUAUCUCUCUCUCUCUCCCUGCCAGGUGCUUCUGCGUCGCUUGCCGUGCUCGGUCAUUCCUGCGAUGGCAUCUAGAGGCGCCGUGUUGGUCGCCGUGGCCGCGGCGGUGGCCGUGAUGUUCGCGUCGGUGGCGUCGGCGCAGGUGGACGGGGGCGUGCCACCGGCGCCGGCGCCGGUCACGGGCGCGGCCGCGGGGGGCGCGGCGUCGGCGGCGCUGGCCGUGGCGUGCUCUGCCGUGCUGUCCAUCCUCGUCGCGGGUGGGAUCAUGCACUAGGCAGGCGCGCGAGGUGGUGAUGGAUGGAAUUGGUUCGUUGAUGAUCUCCGAUUUGGACACGGCUCGUUUCGAGUCGUUUCCGGCUAUAGAGUAGUACUAGUAGCAGUGGUUGGGUUGGGUGCGUUUCCGAGUGAGGCAUGUUGUGUUUAUUUCUUAUUCAUUUGUAUCAUACAUUGGUCUGUGUGUGUUUGUAUCUCUCUUGUUGCUGUGGAUUCUAUGAAUAAAGAUGGAUGAUGUGUCUUCGUCUCAUUCGUCACUAA